rnacentral:rRNA from 1 species
AGAGUUUGAUCCUGGCUCAGGACGAACGCUGGCGGCGCGCCUAACACAUGCAAGUCGAACGGAGCUUAGAGAGCUUGCUUUUUAAGCUUAGUGGCGAACGGGUGAGUAACGCGUGAGUAACCUGCCCUAGAGUGGGGGACAACAGUUGGAAACGACUGCUAAUACCGCAUAAGCCCACGGUACCGCAUGGUACUGAGGGAAAAGGAUUUAUUCGCUUUAGGAUGGACUCGCGUCCAAUUAGCUAGUUGGUGAGGUAACGGCCCACCAAGGCGACGAUUGGUAGCCGGACUGAGAGGUUGAACGGCCACAUUGGGACUGAGACACGGCCCAGACUCCUACGGGAGGCAGCAGUGGGGGAUAUUGCACAAUGGGGGAAACCCUGAUGCAGCGACGCCGCGUGGAGGAAGAAGGUUUUCGGAUUGUAAACUCCUGUCGUUAGGGACGAUAAUGACGGUACCUAACAAGAAAGCACCGGCUAACUACGUGCCAGCAGCCGCGGUAAAACGUAGGGUGCAAGCGUUGUCCGGAAUUACUGGGUGUAAAGGGAGCGCAGGCGGGAAGACAAGUUGGAAGUGAAAACCAUGGGCUCAACCCAUGAAUUGCUUUCAAAACUGUUUUUCUUGAGUAGUGCAGAGGUAGGUGGAAUUCCCGGUGUAGCGGUGGAAUGCGUAGAUAUCGGGAGGAACACCAGUGGCGAAGGCGGUCUACUGGGCACCAACUGACGCUGAGGCUCGAAAGCAUGGGUAGCAAACAGGAUUAGAUACCCUGGUAGUCCAUGCCGUAAACGAUGAUUACUAGGUGUUGGAGGAUUGACCCCUUCAGUGCCGCAGUUAACACAAUAAGUAAUCCACCUGGGGAGUACGACCGCAAGGUUGAAACUCAAAGGAAUUGACGGGGGCCCGCACAAGCAGUGGAGUAU